rnacentral:rRNA from 1 species
UGGGGAAUAUUGCGCAAUGGGCGGAAGCCUGACGCAGCAACGCCGCGUGCGGGAUGACGGCCUUCGGGUUGUAAACCGCUUUCAGCAGGGACGAAGCGUGAGUGACGGUACCUGCAGAAGAAGCACCGGCCAACUACGUGCCAGCAGCCGCGGUGAUACGUAGGUGCGAGCGUUGUCCGGAAUUAUUGGGCGUAAAGAGCUCGUAGGUGGUUGAUCGCGUCGAAAGUGAAAUCUCGGGCUUAACCCUGAGCGUGCUUUCGAUACGGUCGACUAGAGGAAGGUAGGGAGAAUGGAAUUCCUGGUGGAGCGGUGAAUGCGCAGAUAUCAGGAGGAACACCAGUGGCGAAGGCGGUUCUCUGGACCUUUCCUGACGCUGAGGAGCGAAAGCGUGGGGAGCAAACAGGCUUAGAUACCCUGGUAGUCCACGCCGU